rnacentral:rRNA from 1 species
GAUGAACGCUGGCGGCGUGCCUAAUACAUGCAAGUCGAACGCAGUGGGUACGGGUGAGUAACACGUGGGUCACCUCGCGUCAGAGGGGAAAACACUUGGAAACAGGUGCUAAACCGAUACUGAUGGAUGGACUAGCGGUGCAUUAGCUAGUUGGUGAAGUAACGGCUCACCAAGGCAACGAUGCAUAGGCGACCUGAGAGGGUGAUCGGCCACACUGGAACUGAGACACGGCCCAGACUCCUACGGGAGGCAGCAGUAGGGAAUCUUCUGAAAUGGACGAAAGCCUGACAGAGCAACGCCGCGUGAGUGAAGAAGGUUUUCGGAUCGUAAAACUCUGUUAUUAGAGAAGCGGUAUCUAACCAGAAAGCCACGGCUAACUACGUGCCAGCAGCCGCGGUAAUUC